rnacentral:rRNA from 1 species
GACGAACGCUGGCGGCGUGCUUAACACAUGCAAGUCGAACGGAAAGGCCCUGCUUUUGUGGGGUGCUCGAGUGGCGAACGGGUGCGUAACACGUGAGUAACCUGCCCUUGACUUUGGGAUAACUUCAGGAAACUGGGGCUAAUACCGGAUAGGAGCUCCUGCUGCAUGGUGGGGGUUGGAAAGUUUCGGCGGUUGGGGAUGGACGCGCGGCUUAUCAGCUUGUUGGUGGGGUAGUGGCUUACCAAGGCUUUGACGGGUAGCCGGCCUGAGAGGGUGAACGGCCACAUUGGGACUGAGAUACGGCCCAGACUCCUACGGGAGGCAGCAGUGGGGAAUAUUGCACAAUGGGCGGAAGCCUGAUGCAGCAACGCCGCGUGCGGGAUGACGGCCUUCGGGUUGUAAACCGCUUUCGCCUGUGACGAAGCGUGAGUGACGGUAAUGGGUAAAGAAGCACCGGCUAACUACGUG